UGGGGAAUAUUGGACAAUGGGCGCAAGCCUGAUCCAGCCAUGCCGCGUGAGUGAUGAAGGCCCUAGGGUUGUAAAGCUCUUUCACCGGUGAAGAUAAUGACGGUAACCGGAGAAGAAGCCCCGGCUAACUUCGUGCCAGCAGCCGCGGUAAUACGAAGGGGGCUAGCGUUGUUCGGAUUUACUGGGCGUAAAGCGCACGUAGGCGGACUUUUAAGUCAGGGGUGAAAUCCCGGGGCUCAACCCCGGAACUGCCUUUGAUACUGGAAGUCUUGAGUAUGGGAGAGGUGAGUGGAAUUCCGAGUGUAGAGGGGAAAUUCGUAGAUAUUCGGAGGAACACCAGUGGCGAAGGCGGCUCACUGGACCAUUACUGACGCUGAGGUGCGAAAGCGUGGGGAGCAAACAGG
rnacentral:rRNA from 1 species